rnacentral:lncRNA from 1 species
GCUGCCGUGCACCCUAAACAGGUGUCUGCUGCUCAUGAAAGUCUUCGCUAUCAUUUUUUGGAGGUCAGUUCACCUGCAGACAGGAAACUUACAGAAAGUCGCCAUUUUGGAUUCUUAGCAUUCUUUCUGAAGGUAUUGCAAGAAAUGUAACGAAACGUACAGUGUGUGCUAAGUUCUAUUUGUAUAUUCAUACUCUGUGUAUAAAAUAAAGAUUCACACAUGUAAUAAAACAUUGACAUAAGAAGAAAAAGUCAAAUGAAUAAAGCAGUUGGAUUUCUGCCAUUUAAAUUCUGUAAAUUUAAAGAUGCCACAACAUAUAUUCUAUAUUUUGGAGAAUUAUGGUUUGGACCCAAACUGCAUCCCUAAGAAUUCGCAUAAUAUUUAUUUUAGUAGAUAGAUCACAGAUGGACAGAGAGAGCUUAUUGAGUCAUACACUGUCAAAAUGAGACACUUUAUUGGAAAUACAAGCAUGGAUGCCGGUUUGUCAUUCAUUGUGACUAAUUAUGGAAAAGAGAAAAUGAUACUGAUUUUGAUCCAUUUGCUGGAACAGGAGGCCUCCUGAUAGCAUCUGCUCAUUUCGAUGCAUAUGUAUAUGAGACAGGCAUCAACUACAACACAGUUUAUGGCUCAGGAAAGGCAGGUAAGAAAAACCAGAAAUGGAGAGGACCAGAUGAAAACAUUAGGGCAAAUCUUUGUCAGUAUGGUUUAGAGAAGGUAAUACUUUCUCUAAUACAUUUUGACAAAUAUGAUUGACCAUAUUAAAUGUCCUGGUUUCAGAUACAUCUAAACUUUCCUGGAGAAUGGCACAUAUUUUAAUGCAGUAAUCACUGAUCCUCCAUAUGGUAUUAAAGCAUCUGCAAGAAGAAUAGGUUCACAGAAGGAAAUAUCAAAGGGGAUAGAAAAAUGUCCAGGAAGCCACAUUCCUGUUUCCUUGAGUUAUCAUCCGAGUAAUAUGCUUUUUGACCUGCUAAACUUUGCAGCUGAGACUCUCAUGUUAUUUGGAAGACUAAUCUAUUGGUUACCAGUAUAUACAGCAGAAUACACUGAAGAGAUGACAACCCCACACCCGUCUGAAGCUCAUUAGCAACUGUAAGCAGAAGCUUUUCAGCCACACAUCAAGGUGCUUGAUUACAACAGAAAAUGUGAAGAAAUGUGAAAACCAGGACCAGCAUUCACAUCUGCUAAGUGAUCAUUUUCUGACAUACUAAGGUCAUAAUUUCUUCCAUGAGAAAUAUAGUAAAGGGGUAACAAAAAGUAUUGCUAAAGAAGAAAAAUCCAGCCAGAAAUGA